CACUUACCCCUUUGCCAACCACCAAACCAUUUCUACUUAUCAAACUAUGGAUAUUGUGAGCUUUUCCCGCCAUUGAAUUCGCCUUGAAGGAGAUAUUUCCAUUAAACGAAGGCGAUUUGAUUGCCACUGCUGUCUGAUCAAACACCACAGCAGCUCUGUUGCUCGAAUAUGGCGGAAUUUCGAGACUGCGAAUGGAAAAUUCGACUGCCAUCACUGUCUACUGAAGUCGACAAACUAUAUGUGAAACAGAGAAAGCAGCUGAAUUUUUAAGAAUCAAAAGGGAUGCCUUCUUUGUUUAAUUCUUUCAUAUAUCCUUAGCAAAACACAAAAAGAUGCCGAGAACGGAGGACAUUCUCAAACUUCAGGUGCAAGAUCCUCCAUGCUUGGAGUUCUCUGCUGCUCAUAUCAAGUGGGAAAAAAUAGAAGGAGGUCGUCAAGGUGGUGCUGAUAUUGCUGUAGUCCCAUUUUCUAGAGUUGAGGAUUUCGUGAAAGGAGAAUCUUCCAAUCCAGAAUGUCCGGCUCGCUUUCGCAUUGAAUCAAGAAGGAAACGAACUGCAGGGAGUGUCAGCAAACCAAGGGUUGAUGGUUAUCUCGAAUAUAUAUUGUACUGGUGUUCUUAUGGUCCAGAAGAUUACCGAGUAAGUGAAGCAGGUGUUAGGAGUAGCUCAAUCAUAAAGCCUGCAUCUGGGAAGGGCAGCAGACCAGGAAGACGUCACAUGAUGAGAGGCUGCCUUUGCCACUUUACUGUUAAGCGCCUAUAUGCACGGCCACAUCUUGCUCUCAUCAUAUAUAACCAAAGAAAGCAUAUUGAUAAGUCCGGAGCCCCUUGCCAUGGGAUACUUGACCGUGAUGCUGUUGGGACAAGAGCUAUGUAUACUCAGAGAAUUUCUGAGGAAUUACGUCAAAAGAUUAUGUCCAUGCUGUAUGUUGGAAUACCUAUUGAGAAUAUUGUUCAGCACCAUUCAGAGGUUGUACAGGGGCAUGGGGGACCCCAAAAUCGUGAUGAUUUUCUUUCUCGUAUUGACGUCCGUAACAUGGAAAGAGUUAUUCGUAAUUAUUCACACGAGCUUCAUAUAAAUGAUGACUGUAGUGUGAAGAUAUGGGUGCAACGACAUAGGAAAUUCAUUUUUUUCUUUCAAGAGAGCAGUGAUUGUGAGCGUUUUGUCUUGGGCAUUCAGACAGAUUGGCAGCUAAAACAGAUGUUGCGUUAUGGACAUAAUGGCUCUGUUGCUUCUCAUUCAACACUUGGAUCAAAGAAACUACGGUUUCCAUUAUGUAGUUUACUCGUUUUUGACUCAUCUCAAAAUACCAUUCCCGUUGCUUGGAUCAUUGCAUCCUCGUUUGUUGAUCAAGACAUUCGUAAAUGGCUUGGAUUGCUAGUUGAAAGACUGCAUGAGAAGGAUCCUACAUGGAAAAUUGAUACCUUUUUAUUAGACAAUCCUUCUUUUGAGGUUUCUACUAUAAGGGAGGUUUUUCAAUGUCGGGUUCUAUUAUGCAUAUGGCAUGUUCGUCGCAGUUGGGUUAGGAAUCUUCUUAACAAGUGUCCUAAUUUGGAUGUUCAAAGAGAGAUAUUUAAGCAAUUAGGGAAAGUCUUGUAUUGCUCAAGAAUUGGGCUAGGUUUUGAAUAUGCAGUUGAGCAGUUCAAGCGAAGAUUUGCUGAUCAGUGUGUUUUCGUUGAUUAUCUCACAAGAACGUGGUUGCCAGACAAAGAAUCGUGGGUAAAUAGCAUACGGUCGCAUCCUGUUGCCACUUUGGAGGCUAAUGCAGCGAUUGAAGCAUACCAUAUAAGAUUAAAAUCCAAGCUUUUCAAAGAGCAAAGCAACAGUUCCUCAUCAAGAGUUGACUGGCUGAUUCACACUCUUACAACUCAGGUUCACUCCUCAUAUUGGUUAGACCAAUACAGUCUAGAUACUGGAUAUCUUGGGAGUUUUAGAGAUAAAUCCAUCUUAACUAAUGCGUGGAACAAGGCAUUACACAUCCCAGAUGUUGAUGUUAUGCUAGAUGAGUCAAAUCUUCAGUUUGCAAAAGUAAUCUCUCAGUCCAAAAGAAAUCUGGAAUAUACAAUUUGGGAUCCUGGUUCAGAGUUCUCAUUAUGUGAUUGUCCAUGGUCAAGGAUGGGAAAUCUCUGUAAACAUGUCAUCAAGGUCUCAUUAUUAUGUAAAAGCCAGCAAGCUGCAAGGCCAUUAGUAGCUGCUCAAGUUUAUCAGGAUCGUGUUCUGAACUUUCAGCUCAACCCUGUUACUUUUGACCAUGGAAUGCCACUUGUCAAUUGCGUACAACGAGGAAAAGGCUUGUCAGAGAGUGGCUUGCGCCAGCCCGUACAUCUUGAUACUAAUUUCCAAUUGAAAGAUAAUAUUCUUUUUUCUCCACAAUACAAGUAAUUGCCAUGCCUGGUGGCCUUGGCUUGGUAAAUUGAAUAUCGAAUUGGGAAAUUGAGGGAAAGAUUGUGAUCUAAAUUAUAUCCUCCUCCUCCCCUCCACGUUACAAGUAACUUUAUGGUUUUUAACGAGAAAAGUCAUAUAGGCUUUUUGAUCUGAAGAGGGAAACGAGUGGGUUUCUCCGGAGCAGCUUGAUACAAACUAUACUGAAUUCCCAACAUUAUGUUCAGUUAAGAGGACGCUGGCAAAGUCAAUCUGUGGAAGGCUUCCAAGUUGAAUCCAGCUUGAUAGGUACCCUGUAAUUGCUCCGCGUUUGCUCGCAUGACUGGUAUGAAAAAUAGAUCUGAACAGAACUUCUAAAGGACAAAUUUGUGACAAGCAGUCAGAUCAUGGGAAAGAACGGAAUGGUAGUAUCAUCUUUGUCGACUUCAAGACUAAUCCUAUCCCUUUCUCAAUUUUACGUUGUCAACUGAAAGCUCGAAUAACCAGAACUUGGAGAAAAAGAAUAGGAACAGAAAGUAAAUAAGAGAAAAACAGACAAGCACCCCCUCCAAAUAAAAGAAAAACCCUUGAAAAUUCUUCUUUACUACAACUUUUUUCAUGUUUUUGACUUUUCGGUUAAUACUGGAAUAACGCAGUCCGAAAAGUGGAAAAAACAUGAGGGAAAAAAUACAAGAUAUUUCGACAGAGUUAAUGGUAGAAUUGAUGUGAUGGCAGAGAUAUGUAUUAUGACAUUCAUUUGUAGCGACAGGUGGUUAGCUGGAACUGGAGUUAAGUGGUGGUCAUGGGGAAUAUUCGAUGCAUGGUUGUAGAGUUGGCGGUGGUGGUAGUUCUUGUAGGGAAAGUAGGGUGGUGAAAGAGGUGGCAUUGAACUGGUGGUGGGGGUAAAUUAUAAUAGAAGCUUGGUGCGGGAGAUCGUAAAUAUAGAAGGGUGGAGGUGGGGGUGAUGGAUCGUUUACUAGAGACGGUGUACUUUUGCAAUAAAUUGGCAGUGAGGAGAUGGUAAUGUGAAAAAUGAUGCUGGUCACGGCAAUAUUGAAGGUAAGGAGGUAAUGGUGGAGGAGAGGGCGGGGAAGGAGAUAGUCGAGGUGAAGGAAAAGAGGCUGAAAGUGGUUUACAAGAAAUUUUAAUCAACAGGCCUGGAUAGAAAUACUUUAAAUUGCCACGUUGAUUGCUUUGGCUUAGCUCACAAACUAUCCUGCUGUUGUCUACUGUCCAAACCCUGACAUGCUGCCGGCUUUCCCAGUGAAAAGUUUGUACUGUAAACUAAAUUUCAGCAGCUUGAGAAGCUUGCAGACAGUGACAGCUUAUUCUGUGUCUCAUUGAGCCCAAUCAACUUGGGAACUGAUCCCCCGAGAUUAUAAAUAAAGCUGCCAUCGAAUAGAACUGUUUGUCGUGGUUACUUCAUUCUGUGUACAUGUUGCUUAAACUCGACGGUAAAACAUCCACGAACCUUGUUGGCAACAAGCACAGAGACUGGUAAAUUUUUAACAUUAUCAGGCAGUACGAAGGCAAAUUGGCUACAGUUUAUAAAAAUGGUAUUUGAAAUGUUUGUGCUGAAGUAUACAUAUAUAAUUAAAUUUAUUUUUACCCACUAGCGGUGAUUUAAGACUCACAA